rnacentral:rRNA from 1 species
GAUCCUGGCUCAGGAUGAACGCUGGCGGCGUGCUUAACACAUGCAAGUCGAACGAACGGAGGAGAGCUUGCUCUCCAAAGUUAGUGGCGGACGGGUGAGUAACGCGUGGGUAACCUGCCCUAUGCAGGGGGAUAACGUUUGGAAACGAACGCUAAUACCGCAUAAACUAUCGGAAGCUGCAUGGCUUCUAUAGCAAAGAUUUAUCGGCAUAGGAUGGACCCGCGUUGGAUUAGCUAGUUGGUGAGAUAACAGCCCACCAAGGCGACGAUCCAUAGCCGGCCUGAGAGGGUGAACGGCCACAUUGGGACUGAGACACGGCCCAAACUCCUACGGGAGGCAGCAGUGGGGAAUAUUGCACAAUGGGCGCAAGCCUGAUGCAGCAACGCCGCGUGAAGGAAGAAGGUCUUCGGAUUGUAAACUUCUAUCAGUAGGGAAGAAUAAAUGACGGUACCUAACUAAGAAGCUCCGGCUAACUACGUGCCAGCAGCCGC